rnacentral:rRNA from 1 species
AGCGGCGGACGGGUGAGUAACACGUGGGUAACCUGCCCAAGAGACUGGGAUAACACCUGGAAACAGAUGCUAAUACCGGAUAACAACACUAGACGCAUGUCUAGAGCUUGAAAGAUGGUUCUGCUAUCACUCUUGGAUGGACCUGCGGUGCAUUAGCUAGUUGGUAAGGUAACGGCUUACCAAGGCAAUGAUGCAUAGCCGAGUUGAGAGACUGAUCGGCCACAUUGGGACUGAGACACGGCCCAAACUCCUACGGGAGGCAGCAGUAGGGAAUCUUCCACAAUGGACGAAAGUCUGAUGGAGCAACGCCGCGUGAGUGAAGAAGGGUUUCGGCUCGUAAAGCUCUGUUGGUAGUGAAGAAAGAUAGAGGUAGUAACUGGCCUUUAUUUGACGGUAAUUACUUAGAAAGUCACGGCUAACUACGUGCCAGCAGCCGCGGUAAUACGUAGGUGGCAAGCGUUGUCCGGAUUUAUUGGGCGUAAAGCGAGUGCAGGCGGUUCAAUAAGUCUGAUGUGAAAGCCUUCGGCUCAACCGGAGAAUUGCAUCAGAAACUGUUGAACUUGAGUGCAGAAGAGGAGAGUGGAACUCCAUGUGUAGCGGUGGAAUGCGUAGAUAUAUGGAAGAACACCAGUGGCGAAAGGCGGCUCUCUGGUCUGCAACUGACGCUGAGGCUCGAAAGCAUGGGUAGCGAACAGGAUUAGAUACCCUGGUAGUCCAUGCCGUAAACGAUGAGUGCUAAGUGU